rnacentral:pre_miRNA from 1 species
CUUGAUCUAUUGUUUUCGUAGACCAUGUAGAGCUAAUUUCGUGUUGCUAAGUUGGGGCAAUGGUGGUGGUUUGGAGGAGUUUGGAG